rnacentral:rRNA from 1 species
AUUGAACGCUGGCGGCAGGCUUAACACAUGCAAGUCGAGCGGGGUGAUGGUGCUUGCACUAUCACUUAGCGGCGGACGGGUGAGUAAUGCUUAGGAGUCUGCCUAUUAGUGGGGGACAACAUCUCGAAAGGGAUGCUAAUACCGCAUACGUCCUACGGGAGAAAGCAGGGGAUCGCUUGUGACCUUGCGCUAAUAGAUGAGCCUAAGUCGGAUUAGCUAGUUGGUGGGGUAAAGGCCUACCAAGGCGACGAUCUGUAGCGGGUCUGAGAGGAUGAUCCGCCACACUGGGACUGAGACACGGCCCAGACUCCUACGGGAGGCAGCAGUGGGGAAUAUUGGACAAUGGGGGGAACCCUGAUCUAGCCAUGCCGCGUGUGUGAAGAAGGCCUUAUGGUUGUAAAGCACUUUAAGCGAGGAGGAGGCUCUUUUGGUUAAUACCCAAGAUGAGUGGACGUUACUCGCAGAAUAAGCACCGGCUAACUCUGUGCCAGCCGCCGCAGUAAUAC